UACGGGGGGGGCAAGCGUUGUUCGGAAUUACUGGGCGUAAAGGGCUCGUAGGCGGCCAACUAAGUCAGACGUGAAAUCCCUCGGCUUAACCGGGGAACUGCGUCUGAUACUGGAUGGCUUGAGUGUGGGAGAGGGAUGCGGAAUUCCAGGUGUAGCGGUGAAAUGCGUAGAGAUCCGGAGGAACACCAAAGGCGAAGGCAGUGUCCUGGGGAGUACCUGACGCUCAGGUGCGAAAGCCAGGGGAGCGAACGGG
rnacentral:rRNA from 1 species